GCCUCGGUGGUGUAGUAGUAUAAAGACGCUUGCCUGGUAAUCAGGAGAGCGUGGGUUCAAUCCCAGCCGAGCUA
rnacentral:tRNA from 1 species